GCGGGGUUUCGCGGGAAAAUGAUUUUAACAUGGCGUCCACAUGGUUGUAGCUUGAGACUUUUGUUUCCAUUCAUUCGCUUCUCCCAGUCAACCCUCCCUCCUCCUCCUCCCCCUCUCACUGUAGACACAGCUGCAUCAAACUAUGAAGAAGGAGGAGGCUAUGAAGAGAAGGUUGUAAGAAAAAAGAAAAUAAAAGAAGAGAGAGUUAGUCUUCCUCCUGUGUCCCUCCCACCUCUUCUUGGGGAAGCUGAGGACUGUAUUAUCAAAUUAUCCUCCUAAGUCGUUAAUAGCAGCUGGUAACUUAAUCUCAGAGUACAUCUUCAGAGAUACCACUGUGACUCUGCCCAUUAAAUAUGGCCGCCGUGUUUCCAUUGGUUACGCUGCCAGUAGAACUCAACCAGUUUACGGAUCAACAUACCGUGUACUUCAUGAGUUAUCUAAUAUUGAUAAAGGAUUUAAACCAGAGACUAUGCUUGACUAUGGAUCAGGACUAGGAACAGCAGUAUGGUGAGAAAUAGGGAG